rnacentral:misc_RNA from 1 species
UGUGGGAGCGAGCCUGCUCGCGAAUGCGUCGGUGCAUUCGGCAUUGAUGUGUCAGGCAGAACGCUUUCGCGAGCAGGCUCGCUCCCACA